rnacentral:tRNA from 3 species
GCUGAGCAGGGACGCUGGUGCGUCCGGCGGUCUCAUAAACCGCAGCAGGCAGGUUCGAUUCCUGCGCUCAGCA